GUAGUCUCGCACAGAUGCAUAUCAAUAAGCGGAGGAAAAGAAAACUAAUAAGGAUUCCCCUAGUAACGGCGAGUGAAGCGGGAAGAGCUCAAAUUUGAAAUCUUAAAGGGUUUCCCUUUACGAAUUGUAGUUUAAAGAAGUGUUUUCUGUUGAGGUUUUGGUAAAAGUUCUUUGGAAUAGGACAUCAUAGAGGGUGAGAAUCCCGUAUUUGACCUUUACUUUCAACUUUGUGAUACACUUUCAAAGAGUCGGAUUGUUUGGGAAUGCAGUCCAAAAUGGGUGGUAAAUUUCAUCUAAAGCUAAAUAUUGGCGAGAGACCGAUAGCGAACAAGUACCGUGAGGGAAAGAUGAAAAGAACUUUGAAAAGAGAGUUAAACAGUACGUGAAAUUGUCAAAAGGGAAGCGUUUGACACCAGUGUUGUUUUUCUGAAAAUCAAUUAAAGAACUGUUUAUGCUAAGUUGUUUAGACUUUAUCAGCUAUCUGUUUAGUUUUGAGCUUUUCUUUAAUGCACUUUUCAGUUAACAAGUCAACAUCAAUUUCUUUUGCUGUAAAAAAGCUUGAGGAAGGUGGCUUGAGAUUCGUCUUAAGUGUUUUAUAGCCUCUUGCCUAUGCAGUCGGAGAGAUUGAGGUCUGCAGCGUAGAUCCUUCGGGGCUAAAUGCAUUUGUGCUAAGUUAUAGCAUUUUAUAGACAACUUGUUGACUAUGAUUUGUCUCGUAGCUUACUCGCUUAUGUUAUUUUACCUACGCUUAGGAUGUUGAUCUGUAGUGCGUGCGC
rnacentral:rRNA from 1 species